rnacentral:rRNA from 1 species
GGAAAGUUGCAAAGAACUUUGAAGAGAGAGUUCAAGAGAACGUGAAAUCGCUGAAGUGGAACCGGAGAGAGUUAACAUAACUUGGUAGCUAUAUCCUCUAAAGUCGCUUAACUGUGGCUCUGGGGGGUGGACGCUACCUGUUGUUGCACUGACUGCGUUGAUUGUGCUUUCCGAACAGUAUAGUGUUGCCCACUUUGUGGUGUCUUGCUUUCUGGGAGGUUUGUCAUAAUUAACGUAAAGCCAAUUCCCUUUGGAGUCAGUGUGAAAGUUAACCACCUUUCCGACCCGUCUUGAAACACGGACCGAGGAGUGUAAUUUAUACGCGAGUCAAGGGGUGGUGAAAACCCUAGGGGCGGAAUGAAAGUAAAGGCCGGUUAACCGGUUGACAUGGGAUCCGCUCUUCGGAGCGGCGCACCAUGGCCCUGUCUUGUCUGCUUGCAGAUGGGCAGCGGUAGAGCCGUAUAGUUUGCGACCCGAAA